GUUCAGUGCGUUACAUCAUUUGCUGCACGCAAAUUUCGCCACGGUCAGAUGUACUGCGCAAUGAUUGGCCUUAAGCGUGUAGGAACCAUCAAGAAAUACUUCAAAGGCGUGGAUGACGUGACGUUUUACAGCGCCACACGCGAAGAACUAAUCGACUUCCUGAAUCACGGGAGAUAAACAUGUUAUAUGCAUUUACGCUGGGCAGGAAACUGCGCGGUGAGGAACCUUAUUAUCCUGAAAAAGGCGGGAAAGGUGGCAGCUCUGAUAAAAGCGCAAAG
rnacentral:misc_RNA from 1 species